AUCCAGCUGAUGAGUCCUAAAUAAGACGAAACGCGCAUCCUGAAU
rnacentral:hammerhead_ribozyme from 1 species